CUAUCUCCCCCUCCCCCCUCUCUCUCUCUCUUCUCUCUCUCUCUCCCCUCUCUCUCCCCCCCCUCUCUCUCCUCUCCCCCCCCCCCCCCCCCUCCCCCUCUCUCUGACAGAAAGCAGCCGUGCUGAAGAGACUGCAGGACAGCCGGCCUGCGGGGCAGGUGGAGGGUGGGGUGGGGGGGUUCAGCCCCCAUCAGCCAUGUGAGGCGGCAUCUCUGACGGACCCCCCCCCACCCUGUCCCCCCCUCUCCCCCCCCACUGGGACCGCAGAGACAAACAGCACCGCAGCCGAGUCCCCGACCAGCAGAGAGAUGCCUUCAGCAACAGCUGGCAGGGCAAACACCCCGUCGACCUCCGACACACUGGCAAAGACGAAGGCCACGGCGGAAACCGCCGCCCCAGUGACGGAGCCCCUCCCGCCAAAAAAGGCCAUCACAGCCAAGAAAGACGCCGUUAAGAAACGCUCUCUGUCAAGGACAAAGAAAGGCUCUGGUGCUAAGAAGUGUGUGGGAACACGGCUGAAGGUGAAGCUUCCUCCACUCACAGCAAAGAAGAUGUCUGAAGCCAAGGAAUGUUCCGGUUCUCGCUGUGCCCUAAAUCCCGGCGCUCCGGCCGUGCAGGCGUCUGUCCCUGACACGCAGGGCAGAGCUGGCAGCGGGAAACGGCAGCGGGAGCAAGACGUGUCGGACCUGAAGGAGAACGUGCCGCACUCCACAACCGCUCCUCCCAGCCCCACAGCCUCUAAGAAGAGACGCGGUGAGGAGAGACGUGUCCCAUCACAGCCCGAGAGGCCAGAAGAGAGGGGGAUGAGGAGAAGAGAGGGGGAUGAGGGUGGACGGAGAGAGCGCGCGGGCAGGAGGCUCCGGAGAGCUUCACAGACGCCGAGGAUGGAGGAGCAGGGAGGGAGGGAGGUGGAGGAGGAGGAGGAGGAUGGAGACAAGAAAGAGGUGGAGCAGAAAGACGAGGGACUGGCGGAGGAGGAGGAGGAGGAGAAGGAGGAGGGACACAUGCACCAGCAGGCGGAGGAGAAAACCAGCGAGGACCUGAAGAGGGAGCAGAGGACUAAGGUGCUAGCAGAGCGCAGGCUGAGUGUGUUGAAGUCUCUGCAGGGUCUGGUCACCUCCUCCAGGGGGAGGCGCGAGAGUGAAGCAGUACUAAAGGGGCGCGUGGCGGACGCGAGCCACGCCCCCCUGGAUGACGGCGCAGACUCCGCCUCACAGCCACAGGAACAGCAAGAGGAGGGCGGGAGCUCGGGGUCGAAAGCACAGGAGCCAACAGCGGACAUUCAGAGAGGUGAGAGGCCACACCACCAACUUCCUCGUCACUCAGUUUGGAAGUGACUGUUAACUCUGUGUGUGUGUGUGUGUGUGUGUGUGUGUGUGUGUGUGUGUGUGUGUGUGUGUUUCAGCUCCUGCACUGUCAGUCACAGACUCCAUGUUGUACAGACUGCACGGUGAUAUUAGGAUCUCCAUGACCCUUGACAACCCUGUAAGUCUUUAUUUACACACUCACACACACUCACAUACACUCACACACACACACACUCACUCACACACACACACUCUUCUUCACCAAAAAUGCCAUCAUAAAGCAACACAUACAU
ensembl:lncRNA